CAAGGAAUUUUCCGCAAUGGGCGCAAGCCUGACGGAGCGACGCCGCGUGGAGGAUGACGCCCUUCGGGGUGUAAACUCCUUUUCGGGGGGACGAAGGCAGUGACGGUACCCCCGGAAGAAGCACCGGCUAACUACGUGCCAGCAGCCGCGGUAAGACGCAGGGUGCGAGCGUUGUCCGGAGUUACUGGGCGUAAAGGGCGCGUAGGCGGCUGCCCGCGUCGCACGUGAAAGCCCCCGGCUCAACCGGGGAGGGUCGUGCGAGACGGGGUGGCUAGAGGCAGGGAGAGGCUGGUGGAAUUCCCGGUGUAGCGGUGAAAUGCGUAGAGAUCGGGAGGAACACCGGUGGCGAAGGCGGCCAGCUGGCCCUGACCUGACGCUGAGGCGCGAAGGCGCGGGGAGCGAA
rnacentral:rRNA from 1 species